rnacentral:lncRNA from 1 species
CAUUGAAUCUGUAGAUUGCUUUGGGUAGUAUAGGCAUUUUAACAUGAUUAAUUCUUCCAAUCCAUUAGCAAUGGAUAUCUUCCCAAUCAUUUGAAUUCUCAAUUUCUUUCUUUUAUUAUGUUGAGAUAUGUUCCAUAUAAACCCACUUUUUGAAGGUUUUUAUCAAGAAUGGAUGUUGAAUUUUUUUUUUUUACUGUUUAUAAACAUUUGGAAUUUUAUUUAAAAAAAAAAAAAUCACAACCAUGAACAUUGUUACAGUUAGAGGCCCUCUUGGUUCUCCACAAUGAUACUGAGCAUGCUCACAAGGGGUUCCCAUUGUUUAGUCUUUAAACAACCAUCUUUAAAAGAAGGAAAAAAAAACUCGGCACACUACCAUUUAACUUGUUUUAAUGUUUCUUCACAAAUGGUGAAAAAUACUAAAGUACAGACAAGGAAUAAUCAUAAUGUUGUGGCCAACAUUAUAAAUAUGGAAUUAUAAAUUUAAAACAUUUUCUGGCUUAAAAAAUAAAUCUGGUAGUCAAUGCAGCUCUGCGGGGUCUCUGCGUCUAGUAGGGCCGGUCUCUGCGCUCCUGACGGUGCUCGCCUUUAUCCAUUUUUCCAGGUCCUCCACGCCCGCCUCUUCUUCCUCCCAUCUGUUCCAUCAAAGGUCCAGGGAGUGGCAGUGGCAUCCCUCUGCCCUCACGGGGAGGCAUACCACCCCGCAUGCUGUUCAUUGGAGGUUUCUUCCGAGCAAGAGAAACCUUAAGUUUGCUUCCUUGAAAAUCUUUCCCAUCAAACCACUCCACAGCAGCCUUGGCAGUUGGUGGGUCUUCAUAGGAUACUGUAGCAUCACCUUUGGGCUUUCCUGUUUCCUUGUCCAAGUAGAUAUGGAUCAUGGGUUGUCCGGUUCUCUUCAUCUUAACAACUCCACAUUGCUUAAAGAAGUCAGCCAGAUCAUCUAGAGUCACAUUGUCAUUUAGGCCUUGCACAUAAAUUGCACUGUUGUCAGAGUCUUCAUCUGGAUCUACAGGUGGGCCUAGAUCAAGAUCUGGUCCUUCAUCCAUGGGUCCACCAGGCUUAUUGAAGCCACCUCGCUCUCCAGCGCUGCCCAUUCCACCGCGUCCUCCUCCCCGCCCACCUCUGCUUAUGCCUCCACGAUCAAAUCCCCCUCUUCCCCUGCCCCGGUUAUCAGGGCCACUCAUGCUCCGGUUCUCUCCUGGUCCGGAAAAUCCUCCAGACUCCUGCCCAUAAACACCCAUGCUACUGGGGUGGUCCUGUCGGAAUGAACUCUGCUGCCCGUAGCUGCUGCUCUGUUGGCUAUAUUGACUUGGAGCCUGGCUGUAGGAUCCAGUUUGGGGGGGAUAACUAGUGGGCGGCUGCUGCCCAUAGCUGCUUUGUUGACCAUAGCUACUCUGCUGUCCAUAGCUGCUCGGCUGCCCAUAGGUGUUCUGCUGAGAGUAACUGCUCUGAUCAUAACUAGUCGGCUGUGUAGAGGAGUAGCUGGUAGGAGGAUAAGAUGGUGGUGCUGUGACUGGCUGCAUGGGGUAGCUCCCAGGUACCUGGGGAUAACUGUAGUUACUCUGUCCAUAUCCUAGGCUGGGCUGGUUGUAACCCCCUGUGCUAGAUUGAGGUUGACUAGUCUCAGCGGGUUUGUUACCAUCCUGUGGUCUUGCAGGUGCGGUGGCUGCUGGCUGCUGCCCAUAGGCUGGGUAAGCAGGCUGAGUGCCAUAUGCAGACUGAGCUGCAUAGGAGGCCUGGGUGGUAGUGACCGUAGCAGUGUGGUAUCAUAAGCACCAGUGCCGUACCCCUGGACAGGCUGACUGUAUGCCUGGGGGGCAGUUGGAGUAGUAUAACCAGCGGGAGGCUGUCCAUAAGAAGUUGCAUGGCGGUCUGCCCAUAGGUCGCAGUGGUCUGAGCCUGGGUAUAGCUGACAUCAGUGGGCUGUCCAUAGGUUCCAUAACUCUGCUGCCCAUAUGCCUGGGUGAUCUGUGCAUAUCCUUGAGUUGGUUGGGCGGUGUAUGCACUGUAGCCCUGCUGGGCUGCAGCUUGGCUGUAGGUACUGUAAUCCGUGGACGCCAUUUUCUCUCCUUCCCUCUCGUUCUCUCAACGUCCGUCUCCCUCUCGCUUUCCCUCUAGGCCUGGAUGUUGAAUUUUAUCAGAUUUUUUUCUGGAUCUAUUG